GGCUCGACUGUGGAGGAGGCAAUCGGAAGUUCACGUUCAGAGAAAACCAUCAAUAUCCUCCUCUGCAAUACCUGUCUACCAACCACUGCAGAGGAGGGAAAAGAAGAAGACAGAAACAAAGCAGCCACUUCAUGACAGACCAAAGAUCAUCGGUCGGAGCAAAGAUCAUCGGUCGAAGCAAAGAUCAUCAGAUCCGAAAAACAUGCGGCACCACUCAGUGGAUCGAGACCCAGUAGGAGCAGCCCGCGCGGAGGAGGCUGGAGCGAUGAAGUCCCGUCUGUGGAGAGGAGCUGCCGUGUGGGAGCACUCAACACCGAGCGCAGCGGUGUAAUCCCAACAUUACACGCUCCGUAAUGGCUGAUGUUUGCGCCACAGGCUGGAACGGUGCGGUCCGCCAGGGAAAGACCCGUGAGGUGGGUGCCGAAUAAUGGAGGGAUGAUGAGGUGAUGAAGAGAGGAACGGAUUGAUGGAUGGAUAGCACAUCAAUGGAUGCGUGUACUGGAAGCACCCAGUGGCAGAGCAACGAAAGGCCGGUUUGACCUCGCCUCACCUCUCUCAAAGCAGCCUGGACCCCGCACACAAUAUCUGACCUUGGAAAAGAGGCGUCUUUCCG